UACAGGGGGUGCAAACGUUGCUCGGAAUCAUUGGGCGUAAAGCGCACGUAGGCGGUUCGUUAUGUCGGAUGUGAAAGCCCUUGGCUUAACCGAGGAAGUGCAUCCGAAACUGGCGAGCUAGAGUACGAAAGAGGAUCGCGGAAUUCCCGGUGUAGGGGUGAAAUUCGUAGAUAUCGGGAGGAACACCGGUGGCGAAGGCGGCGAUCUGGGUCGAUACUGACGCUGAGGUGCGAAAGCGUGGGGAGCAAACAGG
rnacentral:rRNA from 1 species